rnacentral:ncRNA from 1 species
AUAAUGACAAUGCCGAGGAAUAGUAAUAAAUCCCUUCAGGUAUAGAGAGGCAGUGAUUGGUGGAAACUGUCCCUGAAUAUUUAUGAACUCGCCUUGAGCCGUUGCAGAAGCGAAUUUUUAUGUAGUUUCUGACGUAUGUCCACGUUACGGAUUUUAAGCGAAUGCAGAUCAUGCAUUAAAUUGGGUGGUACCGCGGGAAAUAGCAUCUCGUCCCUUCU